GAUGAACGCUGGCGGCGUGCCUAAUACAUGCAAGUCGAGCGAACGGACGAGAAGCUUGCUUCUCUGAUGUUAGCGGCGGACGGGUGAGCAACACGUGGAUAACCUACCUAUGAGACUGGGAUAACUUCGGGAAACCGGAGCUAAUACCGGAUGAUAUUUUGAACCGCAUGGUUCAAAAGUGAAAGACGGUCUUGCUGUCACUUAUAGAUGGAUCCGCGCUGCAUUAGCUAGUUGGUAAGGUAACGGCUUACCAAGGCAACGAUGCAUAGCCGACCUGAGAGGGUGAUCGGCCACACUGGAACUGAGACACGGUCCAGACUCCUACGGGAGGCAGCAGUAGGGAAUCUUCCGCAAUGGGCGAAAGCCUGACGGAGCAACGCCGCGUGAGUGAUGAAGGUCUUCGGAUCGUAAAACUCUGUUAUUAGGGAAGAACAUAUGUGUAAGUAACUGUGCACAUCUUGACGGUACCUAAUCAGAAAGCCACGGCUAACUACGUG
rnacentral:rRNA from 1 species